rnacentral:rRNA from 1 species
UACGUAGGGCGCAAGCGUUGUCCGGAAUUAUUGGGCGUAAAGAGCUCGUCGGCGGUCUGUCGCGUCGGAUGUGAAAGCCCGGGGCUUAACCCCGGGUCUGCAUUCGAUACGGGCAGACUAGAGUGUGGUAGGGGAGAUCGGAAUUCCUGGUGUAGCGGUGAAAUGCGCAGAUAUCAGGAGGAACACCGGUGGCGAAGGCGGAUCUCUGGGCCAUUACUGACGCUGAGGAGCGAAAGCGUGGGGAGCGAACAGG